AAAAUCUUUAUUACAAUACACAAUUAAAAUUCCACAAAUACGUUUCGCCUCAGGGCUUUAUCAAAAUCGAAUAACACAAUACCUGGCAGUAUGAGUUUAAAUAGGAGUACAAAUUAUUAAAAUUGGCACCCCAACUAAGGGCAGCCAAUCACAAUUUACAUAGUAAAAUAAACCUUAAAAUUUGCUCAACCAUAUAUAGGAAGUAAG